AUUGAACGCUGGCGGCAUGCCUUACACACGCAAGUCGAACGGCAGCACGGGUGCUUGCACCUGGUGGCGAGUGGCGAACGGGUGAGUAAUACAUCGGAACAUGUCCUGUAGUGGGGGAUAGCCCGGCGAAAGCCGGAUUAAUACCGCAUACGAUCUACGGAUGAAAGCGGGGGACCUUCGGGCCUCGCGCUAUAGGGUUGGCCGAUGGCUGAUUAGCUAGUUGGUGGGGUAAAGGCCUACCAAGGCGACGAUCAGUAGCUGGCCUGAGAGGACGACCAGCCACACUGGGACUGAGACACGGCCCAGACUCCUACGGGAGGCAGCAGUGGGGAAUUUUGGACAAUGGGCGAAAGCCUGAUCCAGCAAUGCCGCGUGUGUGAAGAAGGCCUUCGGGUUGUAAAGCACUUUUGUCCGGAAAGAAAUCCUUGGCCCUAAUACGGUCGGGGGAUGACGGUACCGGAAGAAUAAGCACCGGCUAACUACGUG
rnacentral:rRNA from 1 species